AGAGCGAACGCUGGCGGCAGGCUUAACACAUGCAAGUCGAGCGCGUGUAGCAAUACACGAGCGGCAGACGGGAGAGUAACACGUGGGAACGCGCCCUUCGGUUCGGAAUAACUCAGGGAAACUUGAGCUAAUACCGGAUACGCCCUUACGGGGAAAGAUUUAUUGCCGAAGGAACGGCCCGCGUCGGAUUAGCUAGUUGGUGAGGUAACGGCUCACCAAGGCGACGAUCCAUAGCUGGUCUGAGAGGAUGACCAGCCUCACUGGGACUGAGACACGGCCCAGACUCCUACGGGAGGCAGCAGUGGGGAAUAUUGGACAAUGGGCGCAAGCCUGAUCCAGCCAUGCCGCGUGGAUGAUGAAGGCCCUAGGGUUGUAAGUCCUUUUAACGGGGAAGAUAAUGACGGUACCGUAGAAUAAGCCCCGGCUAACGUUCGUGCCGAGCAGCCGC
rnacentral:rRNA from 1 species